ACGGGUGAGUAAUACAUCGGAACGUGCCCGAUCGUGGGGGAUAACGGAGCGAAAGCUUUGCUAAUACCGCAUACGAUCUACGGAUGAAAGCAGGGGACCGCAAGGCCUUGCGCGGACGGAGCGGCCGAUGGCAGAUUAGGUAGUUGGUGGGAUAAAAGCUUACCAAGCCGACGAUCUGUAGCUGGUCUGAGAGGACGACCAGCCACACUGGGACUGAGACACGGCCCAGACUCCUACGGGAGGCAGCAGUGGGGAAUUUUGGACAAUGGGCGAAAGCCUGAUCCAGCCAUGCCGCGUGCAGGAUGAAGGCCUUCGGGUUGUAAACUGCUUUUGUACGGAACGAAAAGCCUUUUUCUAAUAAAGAGAGGUCAUGACGGUACCGUAAGAAUAAGCACCGGCUAACUACGUGCCAGCAGCCGCGGUAAUACGUAGGGUGCGAGCGUUAAUCGGAAUUACUGGGCGUAAAGCGUGCGCAGGCGGUGAUGUAAGACAGAUGUGAAAUCCCCGGGCUCAACCUGGGAACUGCAUUUGUGACUGCAUCGCUGGAGUGCGGCAGAGGGGGAUGGAAUUCCGCGUGUAGCAGUGAAAUGCGUAGAUAUGCGGAGGAACACCGAUGGCG
rnacentral:rRNA from 1 species